CCUACGGGAGGCAGCAGUGGGGGAUAUUGCACAAUGGGCGGAACCCUGAUGCAGCGACGCCGCGUGGGUGAAGAAGCGCCUCGGCGCGUAAAGCUCUGUCAGCAGGGAAGAAAAUGACGGUACCUGAAGCAGAAGCCCCGGCGAACUACGUGCCAGCAGCCGGGGUAAUACGCAGGGGGCAAGCGUUAUCCGGAUUUACUGGGUGUAAAGGGGGCGCAGACGGGGAUGCAAGCCAGGAGUGAAAGCCCGGGGCCCAACCCCGGGACUGCUGUUGGAACUGUGUGGCUGGAGUGCAGGAGGGGCAGGCGGAAUUCGUGGUGUAGCGGUGAAAUGCGUAGAUAUCAGGAGGAACACCGAUGGCGAAGGCGGCCUGCUGGACUGCAACUGACGUUGAGGCCCGAAAGCGUGGGGAGCAAACAGGAUUAGAUACCCUAGUAGUC
rnacentral:rRNA from 1 species